GACGAACCGUGCGAACGUUGUUCGGAAUCACUGGGCUUAAAGGGCGCGUAGGCGGCUUGUCAAGUCAGGGGUGAAAUCUUUCGGCUCAACCGGAAAAGUGCCUUUGAUACUGGCAGGCUCGAGGGAGGUAGGGGUAUGUGGAACUUCCGGUGGAGCGGUGAAAUGCGUUGAUAUCGGAAGGAACGCCGGUGGCGAAAGCGACGUACUGGACCUCUUCUGACGCUGAGGCGCGAAAGCUAGGGGAGCAAACGGG
rnacentral:rRNA from 1 species